CUCGCUUCUCGGCCUUUUGGCUAAGAUCAAAGUGUAGUAUCUGUUCUUAUCAACUCACAUGAAAGACCUUCUAUUGUGUAUCAGUAAGUAUUCUAUUGUGUAUCAGUAAGUAUUCUAU
rnacentral:snRNA from 1 species